GCAAAGAUGUUUUUGCGACCUAGGCUUUUAACAUAUUUAGACCAGUGUUUCAAAUGUCUAAUUUUAUGUUUUGUAGACUCUCCGUGAGGUUGAACCCCCCCCACUCUUAAAGUGAACACUCAUUCCCUGUCAGAAGCCAGAGAUGUACAUAAGUUGACAGUUGUCAGUGAUCAGUCAGUGUUAAUUGAAUCAAGGGUCUGUGCAUCCACUGAAGGACUGGAAAAGGUGACUCCUGAGAAGGACAGAUUAUCAUUGGAAGGUCAAGACUGUGUUGAGGAGGAUGUUGAGAUG